rnacentral:tRNA from 2 species
GGGCUGUUAGCUCAGCGGGAGAGCACUUGGUCGACAACCAAGGGGUCACUGGUUCGAUCCCAGUACAGCCCACCA